GUUAUGCGGUCUGUUCUAAGCUAAACAGCUCGAGGUGGUAGAGUCCUCAGCUAUCAAUAGCUGGGCUGUCUAUUUUCAUUUCCUGAAUAUUGUUGGAGGGCCCACGGUGUGUCAUUCACUUUGCUAGGCACCAAGGGCACAGUGCACAGAACACCCCUCCUGGUUCUCAGAAGGCUGCCAGUUUAGCCAGGAAGGCUGAAGGAAGAUAGACUGUUGCAAUUCAGCAUGCAGCAUGGCCACAUAGAGUGUGCGCCUGUGUGUGUGUCUGUGGUGAGAGAAAAUGAAGAAUUCCUAGCAUCACUCAUGAUGAUGAUGAUGACGACGACGACGGCAGCGGCGGUGACAACGACGACGACGACGACGACGACAACGAUGAUGCAGUUGAAUCAAAGACUAUAAAUGCUUCCACGAAACCUUGUGACUUAACUGCCCCCAACCCCUUUUUGAGACCCAUGGUCCUGUGGUAUAGACUGGCCUUGAGCUCUCUGAGUAGCCAAGGUUGACCUUGUACUUCAAUCUGCCUCUGCUGUCUGAGUGCUGGGAUUACAUUUAUACACCACCAUGCUUAGUUUUAUGCAAUUUGGGGAGUCAAACAAACACCUGGCUGAGUGUGUGCCAGUUCCUCUGCUGAAUUUGCCACAUCUCGAGCCCCCUAUUUUGUGAUAUCACUAGAAAUGUAUUUAGGGCUUUGUAUUUCCCAGCCUUUGUUAUCCCAGUGUUGAGAUCCUUGGAGUUUUUUGUUUAUUUGCUUGCUUGGUUUUGUGAUUUAGAAGGUGUCUCAUGUGACCUCAAACUUAGAAUUCACCAAAGUAAUUAAUCCUUUAUAGAGAGCAGUGGCUUAGCUUAGUGGUCAUUUCUCCCUGUGUUUCUCAUAUAAAAACUCCUAGAUCUGUA